GUAAGUUUCCUGAGUCCUUUCAUGCUUCCCCUUUGCCUUCUGCCAUGACUGUAAGUUUCCUGAGUCCUCCCCAGCCAUGCAGAACUGUGAGUCAAUUGAACCUCUUUCCUUUAUAAGUUACUCAGUCUCAGGCAUAUCUUUAUAGCAGUGUGAGAACAAACUCAUACCAUCUAUGUGCUUGCAAAAUCCACUAUGAGAAUCAGAGAGAGGUUAAGACACUUGGCCAAAGUGACACAGCAACAGAAGCCAAUGGGAAGGUAAGGCUGUUUCUGCAGAUCUCUGAGCAGAUGGGGAAAGGUGAAAAUUCAGCUUUUCUAAGAAAAAACAACAGACUUCCUACAGUUCAGCUAACUCCAGACCCCUUCCCAGGGGGCACUUGUUCCUGUGGGAGACAUGUGCCCCCAAACACAGGCCAAGAAGACUGUUAGUUUUCCGCCACUGCUGGAACAAAGCAUCCUAAACUUUGUGGCUAAAAACAAUAGGAAUCGUGUUCCCUCAACGUUUGGGUGGCAGCAGGGCCAUACUCUCUCUGAAGGCUGUUGGGGAGGAUACUUCCCGGCCCCUUCCAGCUUCUGGUGGUUGCCAGCAUCGUUGGCAGUCCUUAGCUGUGGCUACCACACUCUAAUCUCUGCCUCUGUGGUCACGUGGCUUUUCCCUGCAUGUCUCUGUCCAAACUUCCUCCUUCUUAUAAGGAUCCACUCCAAUCCAGUAUGACUUCAUCUUCAGUUGAUCACGUCUGCAAGGACCCUAUUUCCAGAGGUCACAUUCGUAGGGAGAAACUCUCCACGGGUGCUGAGAUGUCUUUGACACCUCGCUGAGUAAGGUUGGCAGAGCUUCCUUCACAACAGCCGGAAACGGUUUCCAUUGAAAACCUUCCUCAGGCAGCAGGACAGAAAGCAGACUUGGGUGACACCUUUUGUUUCUCUGUGUUCACUUUCACCAUCACCUACUCUUCCGAGCACACAAUUUAACCCAGGACAGCAGGGAGACAGCACCCCAGGCCGAGUGAAGGGGAGGACCGCACAGGCAAACGCUGGCCUGGCGAGGCACCAGAGGCUGUAGAGGAAAGCGCCUCCCACCUGUGAGAUGCCAACAAGAUACCCAGGGUCUGAAGAGUCUUAAAAGAAAAGCAAGGAGCGGGGGUAUGAUAUCCGACCAAAGAGCAAACGCCCGAGCCACUUGGCACUGCACUCUAACUGGGAGGCUGAGCACACAAAUUAGAUGUUUGUAAGAAUAAACAGUCAUUAGAACUCGAGAACUAGAGGAGAAAUAAACAUCAUUUCAAGAUAUUUGACUAAUUUGGCUCUGAGCUCUGCCUGCCUGUGAAUGUGCUGGUUUCUGGCUUGCGGGGAUGCCUGUGUAUCUGUGCAUGCUUCUUGUUAGCCCUCUUGGUUACGUGUCCUUACUGAGUGCCAAAGUCUCCUCUGUAAAAUGGGGAUAACAGCAACACCCAACUCAAGGGUGUUGGGAGAGUGGAACAAGGAAAUACACACAAAUUGAUUAAAACAGAGCCUGGCACCUAUAGUAAGUGCUCAAGAAAUGUGAGCAAUACUCUACAUUUGCUCACAUAUUCAUUCGUUCAGCAAAUAUGCAGAGGGUCCCAGCCAGGGGAGGCCCUGUUCCUAGUGUUAGGGAUCAAAAGACAGUGAGAUUCCUCGUGCCAGCUGAUGCCAGGCACACGGUGGGCGCCCAGGAACAGAUUUUUGAAGAAUGAAUGUAUGGGGCAUGGACUUUGCCUUCAAGAGCUGUGGCCUGGGGAGGAGACAGACUUGUAAAUAAAUCACUGCAAACACUGUCAUGAUAAAUGCAAAGCAGUUCCAGCUAUAAAUUUCACCUAAAGUACAGUAAAAGGACCGGCCCUGAUGGUGGAAUUUCAGAGACAGAGGCCAAGGCAGGGAACAGUGCUGCGGGAAUGAGGCCCUCUUAGAUGCUUUGAAAUUGUACCAGGAAGACCACAGCCCCUGAACCCAGUUCAGAGUGGAGACAGCAGGGCAGGGAAGCCCUCACACCGUGGAUGAUGACAGGUACACACUUUGGAGGACUCAGGCCACUGGGCUGGAUGACCCUGGCCAUCCCCCUGCCUCAGGGCCCAUGGCCC
rnacentral:lncRNA from 10 species